GACAGAGGAUGCAAGCGUUAUCCGGAAUGAUUGGGCGUAAAGCGUCUGUAGGUGGCUUUUUAAGUCCGCCGUCAAAUCCCAGGGCUCAACCCUGGACAGGCGGUGGAAACUACCAAGCUGGAGUACGGUAGGGGCAGAGGGAAUUUCCGGUGGAGCGGUGAAAUGCGCAGAUAUCAGGAGGAACACCGGUGGCGAAGGCGGUUCUCUGGGCAUUACCUGACGCCGAGGAGCGAAAGUGUGGGGAGCGAA
rnacentral:rRNA from 1 species